rnacentral:rRNA from 1 species
UACGGAGGAUGCAAGCGUUGUCCGGAAUGAUUGGGCGUAAAGCGUCCGCAGGUGGCUAUGUAAGUCUGCUGUUAAAGAGUGAGGCUCAACCUCAUAAGAGCAGUGGAAACUACAUGGCUAGAGUGCGUUCGGGGCAGAGGGAAUUCCUGGUGUAGCGGUGAAAUGCGUAGAGAUCAGGAAGAACACCGGUGGCGAAAGCGCUCUGCUAGGCCGCAACUGACACUCAUGGACGAAAGCUAGGGGAGCGAAUGGG